rnacentral:rRNA from 1 species
UACGUAGGUGGCAAGCGUUGUCCGGAAUUAUUGGGCGUAAAGCGCGCGCAGGCGGUCCUUUAAGUCCGAUGUGAAAGCCCACGGCUCAACCGUGGAGGGUCAUUGGAAACUGGGGGACUUGAGUGCAGGAGAGAAGAGUGGAAUUCCACGUGUAGCGGUGAAAUGCGUAGAGAUCGGGAGGAACACCAGUGGCGAAGGCGGCCGGCUGGGGGUGACCUGACGCUGAGGCGCGAAAGCGUGGGGAGCGAACCGG